rnacentral:lncRNA from 1 species
GGAGAUCGUGUAGAUGCAGUCCUGCCAAUCCGUACGAACUCGUGAAAGAAAAAAGGUUUUGGCGAAGUCGCCGACUUGAAAGUAAAGUAUGAGGAAAGAGUAGAUUUGUUGUAUUGAUUGAUGUGUUGUUUUACAUGCCUCUUGAGGCAGCUAUUUAUACCUUGUUACAACUGAUUUCCUAACCGACUAGAAUCUAUCUCUAAUUUUAAACGACAACGAAUAUUUACAAACACAACUCGUAUCCGAGUUGGUUAUUAUUUUCCCACUGGCCAAACUCCAUCUUCAUCUAAUCUUCAUCUUGGCCCACCUUAGGCCCAUACUGGCCAAACCAUCCCAACUCCCAAUCAACCAGCCUUUAUCAACUCCCUCUACCAGUCG